AGCGAACGCUGGCGGUAUGCUUAACACAUGCAAGUCGAGCGCGAAAGUGACUUCGGUCAUGAGUAGAGCGGCGGACGGGUGAGUAACACGUGGAUAAUCUGCCUUUAGGACUGGGAUAACCCUGGGAAACUAGGGCUAAUACCGGAUAAGACCACAGGUUCCAUGGAACCAGGGGUAAAAGGCGGCCUUCGGGCUGUCGCCGAAAGAUGAGUCCGCGUCCCAUCAGGUAGUUGGNGAGGUAACGGCUCACCAAGCCGAAGACGGGUAGCCGACCUUAGCGGGUGAUCGGCCACACGGGGACUGAGACACGGCCCCGACUCCUACGGGAGGGCAGCAGUGGGGAAGUCUUGGGCAAUGGGCGCAAGCCUGACCCAGCAAUACCGCGUGAGGGAUGAAGGCCUUCGGUCGUAACCUACUGUC
rnacentral:rRNA from 1 species